rnacentral:rRNA from 1 species
UACGUAGGGUGCAAGCGUUGUCCGGAAUUAUUGGGCGUAAAGAGCUCAUAGGCGGCUUGUCGCGUCGAAUGUGAAAACCCGGGGCUCAACCCCGGGCCUGCAUUCGAUACGGGCAGACUAGAGUUCGGUAGGGGAGUCUGGAAUUCCUGGUGUAGCGGUGAAAUGCGCAGAUAUCAGGAGGAACACCGGUGGCGAAGGCGGGACUCUGGGCCGAUACUGACGCUGAGGAGCGAAAGCGUGGGGAGCAAACAGG